UUAUUAUUAUUAUGAUGAUGAUGAUGAUGACGACGACGACGAUCAUUAUCAUCAUCAUCAUCAUCAUCAUCAUCAUCAUCAUCAUCAUCAUCACCA
rnacentral:pre_miRNA from 1 species